rnacentral:rRNA from 1 species
UGCGUAGGCGGGUAAGUAAGUCCGUGGUGAAAUCUCUGAGCUUAACUCAGAAACUGCCGUGGAUACUAUUUGCCUUGAAUAUUGUGGAGGUGAGCGGAAUAUGUCAUGUAGCGGUGAAAUGCUUAGAUAUGACAUAGAACACCAAUUGCGAAGGCAGCUCACUACACAAUCAUUGACGCUGAGGCACGAAAGCGUGGGGAUCAAACA